GUUUGCAGAGACAGGGUUUCACUCUGUUGCCCAGGCUGAAUGCAGUAGUAUAACCACACCUCACUGCAGUCUCACACUCAUGGGCUCAAGCAAUCCCAGCCUCAGCCUCCAGAGUGGCUACUACUACAAGUGUGUGUUACCAUCCCUGGCUAAUUUUUCAGUGUUUUGUGGAGAGUGGGGUAUAGCUAUGUGUCUGGAAUUGGUGGGUUCUUGGUCUCACUGACUUCAAGAAUCAAGCCGCUGACCCUCGCGGUGAGCAUUACAGUUCUUAAAGGCGGUGUGUCCGGAGUUUGUUCCUUCUGAUGUUCGGAUGUGUUCGCGGUUUCUUCCUUCUGGUGGGUUCGUAGUUUUGCUGGCUCAGGAGCGAAGCUGCAGACUUUCGCGGGAGAGGGAGAUCUGGAAAUGAAUACAGUUCAGGCAAGACGGGCAGGUGAAGAAGGCAGAAGCAGAAAGUGAAGUGAUGAAACUGCAAGUCAAGGAAUUCCAAGGAUUGCUGGCGAACACAGGAAUUUAGGAAGAGGCAAGAAAGAAUUCCUUCCCAGAGACUUCUGAGGGAAUACAGCCUUGCCGAUAGCUUAUUUCAGCCUUCUAGAUUUCAGAGCUGGGAGAGAAUGAAUGUCUGUUGUUUCAAUCUUCCAGUUUAUGGUAGUUUGUUCCUAGGAAACUAAUACGUAUAUUGUUUAUCUUUGAAAAUAGGUAUUUGAGAACAUUUCUACUUCUCUUUGACUAGGAUAUUUUGUAAAAUUAAUAAGGAAUAAGCACUCUUUAAUCAAAUAAGUUUUUUGCAUCUUGCUUGCUAAAAUGUAUGCAUUUUUUAAAAAGUAUGUAUUUUAGUUUUAAAAUUGUCUGUAUAUGUAUAUGCACAUGAAUUUAAUAUUUUAUAUAAAUCCAUAAAUGCAAUCAUGUUAUAUAUCUUGAAUUUUAUGUUUUUCAUAUUGUGGUCUUUUUCUUCUCGUUUUGCUUUGCACGCUCCUCUUCUCCUGCCCCU
rnacentral:lncRNA from 1 species